rnacentral:rRNA from 1 species
GACGAACGCUGGCGGCGUGCUUAACGCAUGCAAGUCGAACGGUAAGGCCCUUCGGGGUACACGAGUAGCGAACGGGUGAGUAACACGUGGGUGAUCUGCCCUGCACUCUGGGAUAAGCCUGGGAAACUGGGUCUAAUACCGGAUAUGAGCUCCUGUCGCAUGGCGGGGGUUGGAAAGGUUUACUGGUGCAGGAUGGGCCCGCGGCCUAUCAGCUUGUUGGUGGGGUAAUGGCCUACCAAGGCGACGACGGGUAGCCGGCCUGAGAGGGCGACCGGCCACACUGGGACGGAGUCACGGCGCAGACUCCUACGGGAGGCAGCAGUGGGGAAUAUUGCACACUGGGCGAAAGCCUGAUGCAGCGACGCCGCGUGAGGGAUGACGGCCUUCGGGUUGUAAACCUCUUUCAGCAGGGACGAAGCGAGAGUGACGGUACCUGCAGAAGAAGCACCGGCCAACUACGUGCCAGCAGCCGCGGUAA